GAUCCUGGCUCAGAACGAACGCUGGCGGCAUGCCUAACACAUGCAAGUCGAACGAGACCUUCGGGUCUAGUGGCGCACGGGUGCGUAACGCGUGGGAAUCUGCCCUUCGUUGGGAUAACACAGAGAGAUUUGUGCUAAUACCUUAUAAUGUCUUCGGACCAAAGAUUUAUCGCCGAGGGAUGAGCCCGCGUAGGAUUAGCUAGUUGGUGGGGUAAUGGCCUACCAAGGCGACGAUCCUUAG
rnacentral:rRNA from 1 species